AUGGAGAUUGCCAGCAGCAUCAUGUCAAUGUAUGAUGAUCUAACUGCGAUCCUUGUCACUUAUUAUGGCGAGAUGCGGCCACACCCCACGGCGAUUUUGUUUGGUGCAACAACAGACGGGGCACCUGUGAAGAUUGACCUUGCACAGAGCAACUUUGGGAGGGACCCAUGGGUUGCCGGUUCUGUCCCCCCGCCACCCCCAGAAAACGCGCUUAGGGCUAUACGAGACUGGAUGUCAGCAGCCUCCAUGGCAAAUUUGCAGAGGAAUUGGAUUGUACAUCUUAAACCAAGGUUAAUAUCAAUCGAAGGGUUUGAAAUUCAGCGACAACUUGCAUCUGGAGCACCAAUGUCACAUGAGUUGUGUACUGCUAUAUUUCGGAGGCUUGCCCAACUGGAUUAG
rnacentral:rRNA from 1 species